rnacentral:rRNA from 1 species
GGGUUUUGGGUCUGAGGGCGGAGAUUUGGGAUCGGCGGCCGCGACGGAUAUAAGGGGAGAGAGGGAGGAGGCGUCGGAGGAAGGUAAACAGACCCUCUCCGCCGGCUCGCUCGCUCGCUCGCGCCUUCGUAGGGGGCCGUCUAAGCAAGAAGACCCGUCCACGUUGUCGGUACCUAUAGUGAGUCUAAGACGAUCGACGGGUCAGAGGUCUACCGUUGGAAGCGAGUCGUCGUCUUCCGUUGUAGUUCGUCAAGGUCCUCGUCUUAGAAGGGUUGAAGGAGGAUAGGAACAGUCACCUCAAUAGCUUACUACUUUCUGGUGGUCUCAGAUCUUCUGAACGACCAUAAUAGGAAUUCUUGAGUGACCUGCGUUUCCUAAGACGUUUCUUCCUCGACGACUGAGUUGUUACCCAGUCGAACCUAGUGAGCUAGUUUAACGUCUAAUUCCUCAGUAACGACUAUUGUGAUCCUAGAAGCCACCCACUACGCGCCGUCUGCAGUAGUGUUCAGUAACGUUUCUAACGUAGGUAACUCUAUGGGGCAGCCCUUACCGUUCUGGAGUAACGGUUUAAUAACUCGUUGUACUGCGUCGGACCCCGGAGACACGGUGAUUUCGUUCGUUGAGAUCUUCGUAACCCCAUACACACACUCCUCUAAGGAGGACUCGUGAACCUCGUCCUAGUUCACUUGCGACAAGACUGACGACACCAAGUCCCCUACUUGGUCUGUCUCGAUUCGAGACUUCAGGCAGAACGUCGUCAAUUUCGAGACAUAUUACGAGAACUGAAACGACUCUCGUUGAAACGUUUACUCUACCUCUCCUGGAAAUAUUACUUCCAUUAAACACUAUGACGACAUAGAUUCCUUCACCUCUAGUCUGUCCGUCGGAAACUUACGGAACACCGUUAACGUAGGUGUAUAAUACACGUGAAUCUAGGAAUAUACGUUUGGUAUAAGUUGGACUGUCGAUUACGACAGUUUCCUCUACUCCUUGGUCAACGUGACGUCCGACAACUCAAGACCUCAUGAUAAACACUCCUUCUCUAACUUGAGGUUCUCCUUAUACUCCCUAGACUACUACGAUUGAGUUGACAUUUAAUAGCGAAGUAACUCUUCCGGGAGGGAAGUGAACAAGGUUACGACGAUCUUUGAGACAACUUCGUUCUCCUUCUAGUUCUCGUUCUACUAUUACGAACCUUGUAAAGGUACUCACCGCCUUGUACGGAACCUGAGUAACGAUCUUGACAACCACUACGUUAACAGGGAGAACACUACGGUAAACACCUUCGAUUGUAGUGUUUCGGUCUGACCGCAACAGCACUCCGUCGGUGAAAACGUAAACCAAGAUAGGAACUACCGGGUAGGGAACUCUUUGAACGAGGGGACCAUGUCCGGCCUGAACUAAAGAACGAGUUAUGUUACUUACUAGGUUUGUCGGUCCAUUUUCUGUGGUGACGUACCUGAGAACCUGCCCAUAAACUCGAAAACGUAAGAGGUACGUCAUGAUUAGGUUAGUAUAGUUUACGUUUGGAAGGAGCAUAGUACCGACACGACGAUCUCUCAUCGUUUCUACAAGGUUUACACCGACUCUUUCAGACACCUCGGUAUAUAAAAGAACGGGUUCCAAUACUUCUACGUCUCGGCCGGAGUAGAAACGAAUGUGGAAUAGAAGGAUUACAAUAACGACGUGAGGAAUGACGGCGCCUAGCACCACUAUACUGGGUACACUCCGAAGCACGUAGACGAAUACUUCGCGACUUACUCUAACGCUGUUCCUCUUCGUUUCGCUAGACGUCCGAAACGACACACCACAUGACGUCACGAUGACAUGUACUUCUUCGUUACGAACGGUAACCACGAGAACGAAUACGGUGUCCAGGUCUAAAACACUUUAUGUACGGACUCAAAAAGUUCAUGGAACUCCGUCCGAACGUCUUAAUACUUCUUAUGGUUCAUACGAGGUAGAGACAUCCCCACCACCCACUAUAAACGGCACGGAACCUUCUAUUUUAAAACGGGAAGACACUACCCUAGUACUGACACGAAGAGUUCCUAGAGAGUUUGAGUGUCGAGUUGUCCAGACAGUUCGGAGGCUAAAAGAGUACGAAACCUCUGUAACGAGAACGGUAGCCACUCUUAAAACUCUUCAUGGACGGCAUACGAUACGGUUACGAAGUUCCCCGCCGACUCGAAGAACAACAAAACCUAGUUUUACUACUCCUAUACCAACUAAUACCAUUGGUCGAGUCUGCCCCUUAUAAACUCCGCAUGAGACCGUAUGAUGUCCCGUAUUUCCCGCGUUUUCGAGUCGACUACUAUGGAAUACGUCCUGUAGACAACGUCAAGUGACUUCGACAGAUGUUUCUAGCCUCGUCCCUGCUCUCGCACUGUUUCCGACGUCAACGACAGGACCCCCUAGAACGCCUGUGCGAACCCGGUUAGAGCUUCCUAGACAAGUUCUCGGUGGAGAAGGUGCAACUCAAGGACUCCCUCACGGAGCUAAACCUACUACUUCAGUCCCUCUGCCGCAGUACCUGGGUCCCCUACUAUUUGGUUCGCUAUCAGAGGAUCUGCUCUUUAAUAGAACGCAGCAGACAAUACCACCUACAAACCAAAACAACGACGCGGUUUGAGGCAAACCCAAACCAAGUCUACUUGUCUUCCCAUGGUUUCAUAUCGCAGUCAGUCAGCAUCCUUGUAACAGCAUCUACAGAAGACACCACCAAAUAAUAAAAGUCAGACAGUUCAGCAAUACGCAGUGUAAGCUGCCGUCACCCCAAAUACCCGUAACCUGCAGAACUUGUCGAUUUGAAUAAUAACAUAAGAUGAGCAAACACAACGCAUGAACGUACGUACGAUACGACGACGACUACAGAGAAGACGUACCACAAAGACGCUCGACGUCAUACGUGACUCCGUCAGACCAAUGUUUUAGACCUGUUUGAUGUUCCAGACAUCACUUCGCUUUUAUGUUCGUGUGGAAACAGUGAUACGAUACGAUGUGGUGAACGUGUGUGACGCUAAAGUUGACAACCAUAUGCUUGAGAACAUCGUUUGGACAUACGAGUCGAGGAAGUCCACCGGAGCCACCUCUACUAGAGGUCGAGGCGGGUGGUGUCGCCGCUGUGGAACCCCCACCGGCGGAGGCCGCCGUACCGGCACUAGAGGGAGUCGGCGGAGCGGUGGAGACGGUAGCGCCCAGCGGCGGAGCGGAGGGCCAGCCACGUCCUGGCAUAGUGCGGCAGGUCGGACAACUGCCAGAGCCGGACCGCCCCGCGCAAGGUCGAGUCCGGUCCCAGGUACUGCAGGGAGUCGACGGAGAGGGGAGCCUCCUUCGAGCGGCGGGUCGGGAGGUCGUCCGGCGGCCGGCUGCGGCACUUGGACGGCCUGUACUAGAGGUCGUCGUGGUACGGCAUCGACAUGUGUUGCGAGAGGGACAGCCUGUCUCGGUCCUCCCUGACGUCCGAGCGGUAGAGGCGGGAACAGCUGCUCCGCAGCAGGCUCGUCUUCUUCUGUAGGCGUUAGAACCGGCGCUUCAGCAGCCAUUCCAUGUGCCACCUGCACAGCUCGCAGAACUCCUAGAGGCCGCCCGAGUCGACCACGUACACGAGGUCCGUCAUCCGCUAGGGGUGGCGGUGGGCGUCGG